AGCAGCCGCGGUAAUUCCAGCUCCAAUAGCGUAUAUUAAAGUUGUUGCAGUUAAAAAGCUCGUAGUUGAAUUUCGGGAUUGACACAUCGGUCGUGCCUUAAGGGGUAUGAACUGGUGUAGUCAAUUUCUCACCUUCUGGAGAACCGCGAUGCCCUUAAUUGGGUGUCGCGGGGAACCAGGACCUUUACUUUGAAAAAAUUAGAGUGUUUAAAGCAGGCAUUUUGCUUGAAUACAUUAGCAUGGAAUAAUAAAAUAGGACGGCAUGAUUCUAUUUUGUUGGUUUCUAGGAUCACCGUAAUGAUUAAUAGGGAUAGUUGGGGGCAUUAGUAUUCAAUUGUCAGAGGUGAAAUUCUUGGAUUUAUUGAAGACUAACUACUGCGAAAGCAUUUGCCAAGGAUGUUUUCAUUAAUCAAGAACGAAAGUUAGGGGAUCGAAGACGAUCAGAUACCGUCGUAGUCUUAACCAUAAACUAUGACCGACUAGGAAUCAGACGAUGUUAAUUUUUAAUGACUCGUUUGGC
rnacentral:misc_RNA from 1 species